rnacentral:sRNA from 1 species
UAGGUAUGUCGUCCUCAAAGACCGGAAUC